CAGGGAGACAACAAAAUGUUUAAUAUUAUUUUGUCACCUUAGGUCGAUCGGUAUCUCACGUUCUUAAAUAAUUAAGAAUUUCAAUUCCUAAGUUUUUCUAGGUCACACCCAUUAUUUUCCUGGGCCAUUAGCUCAGGUGGUUAGAGCGCACCCCUGAUAAGGGUGAGGUCCCUGGUUCAAGUCCAGGAUGGCCCAUAUCUCUAUGUUGGGGGUAUAGCUCAGUUGGUAGAGCGCCUGCUUUGCAAGCAGGAUGUCAGCGGUUCGAGUCCGCUUACCUCCACUGAUUACCACCUCUUCCAUAAUUUGUAGAAAGGAAAUUUUUUGAGUUGUGAUCAACUUCUGAACGAAUCUAGCUUCCUAAUGAAAGCAUUAAGAUGCUGGACUCAUUGAAUUAAUUUCAUUGUUUUCAGAGAACCUUGACAACUGCAUAGAUUAUUUUUAAAGACAAUAAGCAUCUUUAAUGAUGCAGAUUUAUUAUUUGUGCGAAUGCAUUAAUAACAAUUCUAUUAAGCUGAUGCUUCAAUUUUGAAGUUAUU
rnacentral:tRNA from 1 species